rnacentral:rRNA from 1 species
UAGUUGCAAGGUAUAGACCCGAAACCCGGUGAUCUAGCCAUGGGCAGGUUGAAGGUUGGGUAACACUAACUGGAGGACCGAACCGACUAAUGUUGAAAAAUUAGCGGAUGACUUGUGGCUGGGGGUGAAAGGCCAAUCAAACCGGGAGAUAGCUGGUUCUCCCCGAAAGCUAUUUAGGUAGCGCCUCGUGAACUCAUCUUCGGGGGUAGAGCACUGUUUCGGCUAGGGGGCCAUCCCGGCUUACCAAACCGAUGCAAACUCCGAAUACCGAAGAAUGUUAUCACGGGAGACACACGGCGGGUGCUAACGUCCGUCGUGAAGAGGGAAACAACCCAGACCGCCAGCUAAGGUCCCAAAGUCAUGGUUAAGUGGGAAACGAUGUGGGAAGGCAUAGACAGCCAGGAUGUUGGCUUAGAAGCAGCCAUCAUUUAAAGAAAGCGUAAUAGCUCACUGGUCGAGUCGGCCUGCGCGGAAGAUGUAACGGGGCUAAACCAUGCACCGAAGCUGCGGCAGCGACGCUUAGGCGUUGUUGGGUAGGGGAGCGUUCUGUAAGCCGUUGAAGGUGGCCUGUGAGGGUUGCUGGAGGUAUCAGAAGUGCGAAUGCUGACAUAAGUAACGAUAAAGCGGGUGAAAAGCCCGCUCGCCGGAAGACCAAGGGUUCCUGUCCAACGUUAAUCGGGGCAGGGUGAGUCGACCCCUAAGGCGAGGCUGAAAAGCGUAGUCGAUGGGAAACAGGUUAAUAUUCCUGUACUUGGUGUUACUGCGAAGGGGGGACGGAGAAGGCUAGGCUGGCCGGGCGACGGUUGUCCCGGUUUAAGCGUGUAGGGGGUGUGACCUGGUAAAUCCGGUUGCAUACUAACCCUGAGGCGUGAUGACGAUGCACUACGGUGCAGAAGUAGUUGAUGCCCUGCUUCCAGGAAAAUCCUCUAAGCUCCAGGUAACAUUAAAUCGUACCCCAAACCGACACAGGUGGUCAGGUAGAGAAUACCAAGGCGCUUGAGAGAACUCGGGUGAAGGAACUAGGCAAAAUGGUGCCGUAACUUCGGGAGAAGGCACGCUGGCAUGUAGGUGAAGUCCCUUGCGGAUGGAGCUGAAGCCAGUCGAAGAUACCAGCUGGCUGCAACUGUUUAAUAAAAACACAGCACUGUGCAAACACGAAAGUGGACGUAUACGGUGUGACGCCUGCCCGGUGCUGGAAGGUUAAUUGAUGGGGUCAGCCGCAAGGCGAAGCUCUUGAUCGAAGCCCCAGUAAACGGCGGCCGUAACUAUAACGGUCCUAAGGUAGCGAAAUUCCUUGUCGGGUAAGUUCCGACCUGCACGAAUGGCGUAAUGAUGGCCAGGCUGUCUCCACCCGAGACUCAGUGAAAUUGAACUCGCUGUGAAGAUGCAGUGUACCCGCGGCAAGACGGAAAGACCCCGUGAACCUUUACUAUAGCUUGACACUGAACAUUGAGCCUUGAUGUGUAGGAUAGGUGGGAGGCUUUGAAGCGUGGACGCCAGUCUGCGUGGAGCCAUCCUUGAAAUACCACCCUUUAAUGUUUGAUGUUCUAACUCGGCCCCAUAAUCUGGGGUGAGGACAGUGUCUGGUGGGUAGUUUGACUGGGGCGGUCUCCUCCCAAAGAGUAACGGAGGAGCACGAAGGUUAGCUAAUCACGGUCGGACAUCGUGAGGUUAGUGCAAAGGCAUAAGCUAGCUUGACUGCGAGAGUGACGGCUCGAGCAGGUACGAAAGUAGGUCUUAGUGAUCCGGUGGUUCUGAAUGGAAGGGCCAUCGCUCAACGGAUAAAAGGUACUCCGGGGAUAACAGGCUGAUACCGCCCAAGAGUUCAUAUCGACGGCGGUGUUUGGCACCUCGAUGUCGGCUCAUCACAUCCUGGGGCUGAAGUAGGUCCCAAGGGUAUGGCUGUUCGCCAUUUAAAGUGGUACGCGAGCUGGGUUUAGAACGUCGUGAGACAGUUCGGUCCCUAUCUGCCGUGGGCGUUGGAAGAUUGAGAGGGGUUGCUCCUAGUACGAGAGGACCGGAGUGAACGCACCACUGGUGUUCGGGUUGUCAUGCCAAUGGCAUUGCCCGGUAGCUAAGUGCGGAAAAGAUAAGCGCUGAAAGCAUCUAAGCGCGAAACUUGCCUCAAGAUGAGUCUUCCCUGGGCCUUUAAGGCCCCUGAAGGAACGUUUAAGACUAAGACGUUGAUAGGCUGGGUGUGUAAGUGCAGCGAUGCAUUGAGCUAACCAGUACUAAUGAUCCGUGAGGCUUAACCUU